rnacentral:ncRNA from 1 species
UUCCAAGAGAGAGUCAUCAGAUGGCCGCCGAAGAGGCAAGCCCUUUCAGGGGUGAAACUUUCAGGCAAAAGGACUGGAA